UGAUAUGGUUGGUGAUGGUAAGAAUGUC
rnacentral:piRNA from 1 species